UGCUCAGGUGGCCUAGAAUUAGAGCGUCCGCCUUGGAUGCGGGCGGUUGUGGGUUCAAUCCCCGGUCGAGUCA